rnacentral:rRNA from 1 species
AGUGAACGUUGGCGGCGUGGAUUAGGCAUGCAAGUCGAGCGAGAACCGUAGCAAUACGGGGACAGCGGCGAAAGGGACAGUAAUGUGUAGGUACCUACCCCGAGGUCUGGGAUAGCUGCGGGAAACUGCAGGUAAUACCGGAUAAUGUCUUCGGACCAAAGGUGUGAUUCCACCUUGGGAGGGGCCUGCAUCCUAUUAGCUUGUUGGCGGGGUAACGGCCCACCAAGGCGACGAUGGGUAGCGGGUGUGAGAGCACGACCCGCGUCACUGGGACUGAGAUACUGCCCAGACACCUACGGGUGGCUGCAGUCGAGGAUCUUCGGCAAUGGGCGAAAGCCUGACCGAGCGACGCCGCGUGCGGGAUGAAGGCCUUCGGGUUGUAAACCGCUGUCGUAGAGGAGGAAAUGCAGGGGGGUUCUCCCUUCUGUUUGACCUAUUCUAGGAGGAAGGACGGGCUAAGUUCGUGCCAGCCGCCGCGGUAA